rnacentral:lncRNA from 1 species
GACAUUUUCCUUCUUGAUUACCUCCUCCAGCCUUCCCUUAGCUGGAGCUGAAGACGAGGACUGACACCAGCUUCUUGACACCCUGUCAGACUCGCUGAAGCGGCGUGGGACAGGCAGGCCCAGGGAAAUCACGAAAAAUAGGAUUUUCAGAGUCCAAAGGGACCUUAAAGGCCAUCUUCUUCCAACUCAGACAUGUCAGGACGUGCAUCUCCAUCCUCCCUGCGUUCACUCUUGCCGGUCCUCCUGCAGGAACCCCAUCGUUGCACCUGUCCACCCACCCCUCCAGGCUCAGCUUGAAGGCCACCUCUUCCUGGACGUGUUUCCUGUCCUCACCCCUGGGAACGAAGCAGUUGCAGGUCCUUCUAGUUGUGGGAUGUGGGAUGCCGCCUCAACGUGGCCUGACGAGCAGUGCCAUGUCCGCGCUCAGGAUCCGAACCCUGGGCCGCCGCAGUGGAGUGUGCGAACUUAACCAGUUGGCCACAGAGCUGGCCCCCGAAGGGUUUCUUCUUUUUCUGCCUGAAGAUCUACAGAGGCCUGGACUUGCAAUUGGAAUCGCCCUAGCACUCAGGAGCCUGGACGGGCCUGGGAGACUCUGCAUGUGGGGCUCAGACUGGAAGCUGGUCGAUGUCAAGUUGAUGGACAGCCCAAUUUAAAUCUCCAGUCAGGAAAACUUGGGCGAAUCAUUGUUUUCUGCAGAAGUUGACACCUCAGUACGUGCGUUCCAUAAUUUGUGGAGCUCCUUCACAAGAUGGCCCGAUGAAACAUGCACUGCGGGUUGAUGCGGCAGAAGAGCCCUGACCCUCCAGGAUCUUACAGUUUAGGAAGAAGGAUAUCAUGCCCACAAGUAAUGAGAGUACAAAGCAAAGAUGUUACAAGACGGAGAAGAGCAGAGUAAGGAGCCUGGGAGAGCAGAAAGCACUGUGGCCUGGAGCCUGAAAACCUGAUGAAAGAAAACUAGUCUUUGUUGCAUGACUCUGAGCCUCAGUUUCCUUUUUAAACGAGUCUCUUCUGCUUUCUUCCGGCUCUGGGAUCUGGCAAUCUUCAUACCGAAGAAUUCUGACAUUGACAGGAGGCCCCAGCGAGGCUCACUCUGACAAGAUGGCAGAAAGAGACAGAUGAAGAUGUGGAUUAGGUCCAUUAUCCCUCAGCAUAUGUCGACGUUAAUAAGUGUGUUCUAUGUAGAUUCAUUAAUCCACUUUUCGGAAUUGAAAAUGAGUAUUUCAGAUGCUUAAUGUGAUAGCCUAGAUGCUCUGAGAUCCAAGUCCCCCUGGACACAAUGUUCUUUAAUCUUUUUAAAUGAUCUGUAAUGGAACCUUCGGGUAUGUAAUAGAGAACACAGUCUGUUAUGACUUAUUGACAAGAUUUUCUAAGAAGGGACUCAUUAAAAAAUGUCCCAAAUGAUAUAACUGAAGCUUAUUUUCUUUACUCCAUGGUGAUGUUUUGAAAUGUAACUUUAAAUGGUUCUGCCUUUGUAAAAUUUUUUUUAAAAAGAGAGCAACGUUCUGAUUUUAAUAUAUAUGUUAGCAAAACAAUUUAAAAUAUCUAAGAUGAUCUGUAUGAAAUCUUGUACACUGUUGGAAUUGAGCUGAACCUUGGGUAUAUCUAGUUUGCAUCUGUUUUCAGAAAAGAAAAUUGAGACCUUGAAAGGUAAGUGACUUGUCCAAUGUUACACCGCAAGUUUGGGGUACAAAUGUGACAAAAAUCCAGCUCUACUGAUAGGCAGAACCAUGUGCCGCUCACGAAGCUAUGCUUCAAACUAGCCCAGUGCAAUUCUAAGUUUGCUGUGUAAAACUGCAGACUUGGAAGUAGUAAUCAGAAAAGGGAAAUUCUUUAUUUAGCAAACAGGAGAGGGGUUAGGAGCACAGGCUUUGUGAUGGGAUUCUGUAAGCUUGGGCAGAUUAUCUGCCUCUCUACGUCUCACCUUUUUCAUCUAUGCAAGGGGAUGAAUAAAUGCACCAAGAUGGUAGGACUAUUGUGAGGAUUAAGUGGUGUAAGGCAGGUAAACACAGUAAAUGUUGUUAUUUGAUUGUUAUUAUUUUGUUGAUUUUCGUGUAGGACAACAUGAAUGUUUGCAGAGAAUCUUGCUUCUCUGCUCCAGUUGAUGGCAAAUUCCUAUUUCUUAGCCUGUCAAAUGCUAGACUUUGUGAAAUCUAAGAAAAGCGUAUAUUCCCUCACCACCCAACAUCAACACCCUUUUGGUGAAUUAUUUUCUGUGUUUGAGAUUGAAGGCUAAAAGCUACUCCUAAAGGAGCCGAAGAGUUGGCCAAUUCCCUUCAACAAACAUUUACUGAGCAUCUCUGUAAACAGAAGCAGAUGUGGUUCUACCCUCCAGGGGCUCCUAAAAUGGUAGCAAAGGUAGACAUCUCUAAGUGUCUCUGAUACAGGCUUUAAGACAAGUGUUCUUAUAGAAGGACAAAUAAAGCCAUGUGGGAAAUGAUCUUAUGGAGUGAGAGAAUUAUUCUAAUGGAACACAUGGUAAGAUCUCUGAGAGGUAGGAUCUGGUUCAAAUUUUAAAGAUCUUCAACAAGUAUAUCUUCAACAAGUGUUGUGGUAAGCAGCUUCUAAGAUAGCCCCCAACAAUGCUCACCUUCUGUUACGCGGCCUUGUGUGAUCCCCUCUGCUUGAGAAACUUGCUUCCAUAAAAUACCACAAUAUUGAGGAGAAUUCACUUCCAUGAUUAGAUUAUGAAAGAUUCUGACUUCCAUCUUGACAACUCCCUUCAUUGAUUUUUUUUUUUUUAAAGAUUUACUUUUUCCUUUUUCUCCCCAAAGUCCCCC